CCCUGAAUCACCCCUGCAAACCUGCCGGAAGAAAAACACAGCAUGAGCCGAUUGCCCAGUACGGAUACAGAUAUACAAAAGAUAUACAACUGAUAUACGAAAAUAACUGAGACAAAAUACUGAACAAAGCCUCAAGUACAAAUACGAACGAAAAUAUAAUAUCCAAAGAUCUGAAUGGAAUAUAUCUGAAUCAACGUAAUGAAUAUAUCUGAAUCAACGUAAUUGACGAAUCCAAUAAAAGAAUAAGGAAAUAACGAACUGAAGUAACUAACUCAAUGACUUGAACUGAAUAGAAACCAACAAAACUAAUCUAAUAAAAUAAUAGGCUGAAACAAAUGGCUGGAAUUAUUUUAUACCGAAUGAGCUCAGAAAUACACAUUGCCACACAGGCAAGUCAAAAUAAUGCCACACAGGCAAGUCAAAUGAUGCCACACAGGCAACCAAAAUAAUGCCACACAGGCAAAUCACAUAUUGGACCGCGAAUCCAAAUGUAUGCAAAUCGGAUAGGUGUGU
rnacentral:lncRNA from 1 species